UGGGGAAUAUUGCACAAUGGGCGCAAGCCUGAUGCAGCCAUGCCGCGUGUAUGAAGAAGGCCUUCGGGUUGUAAAGUACUUUCAGCGAGGAGGAAGGCGUUGUGGUUAAUAACCGCAACGAUUGACGUUACUCGCAGAAGAAGCACCGGCUAACUCCGUGCCAGCAGCCGCGGUAAUACGGAGGGUGCAAGCGUUAAUCGGAAUUACUGGGCGUAAAGCGCACGCAGGUGGUCUGUCAACUCGGAUGUGAAAUCCCCGGGCUCAACCUGGGAACUGCAUCCGAAACUGGCAGGCUAGAGUCUUGUAGAGGGGGGUAGAAUUCCAGGUGUAGCGGUGAAAUGCGUAGAGAUCUGGAGGAAUACCGGUGGCGAAGGCGGCCCCCUGGACAAAGACUGACGCUCAGGUGCGAAAGCGUGGGGAGCAAACA
rnacentral:rRNA from 1 species